GGCUGGCAAGUGGCAGAGCCGGAGCCAGAAUGCAGGAUCCGGGCGUCUGGUCUGCAGUAUCUUCCUGACAGCUCCGUUGAGGGAGGGAGCCUGACGUUUUCAGCAGUGGCCAGUCACCAUCCCCAUCUCCAGCUUAAUUUCCAUUCGGAUUUCUCCUUGUGACUAGGACUCAAAGGAUCCCUCAGAGCCAAAGUCCCAUGGAAACUGAAGCUCCCAGAAGCAGCCAUGAAGAGCAUCUCUAGGGUCUUUCCUUACUCGUGAGUAAACAGAAGGCAGAGUUCUGGCAGAAUGUGUGCACAUCUAGAACUGAAAUAAAGACAGAUUAAGUGAAAGAGAUUGACACCUGCUCUGAAUAAUGACCCGGAAUAACAGUGCUGUGUCAGCACACUCCAAAAUUUUAGUCAUUUCCUCAAGAUCAAUGGGAAGAGAAAUAAGCCGUAUUCUUUCAAAGUAGGGUGGAAGAUAAUUUUGAUGAAGACUUCCA